rnacentral:rRNA from 1 species
GUGGGGAAUUUUGGACAAUGGGCGAAAGCCUGAUCCAGCCAUGCCGCGUGUGUGAAGAAGGCCUUUUGGUUGUAAAGCACUUUAAGCGAGGAGGAGGCUACCGAGAUUAAUACUCUUGGAUAGUGGACGUUACUCGCAGAAUAAGCACCGGCUAACUCUGUGCCAGCAGCCGCGGUAAUACAGAGGGUGCAAGCGUUAAUCGGAUUUACUGGGCGUAAAGCGCGCGUAGGUGGUUUUGUAAGUUGGAGGUGAAAUCCCCGGGCUCAACCUGGGAACUGCCUCCAAAACUGCAUGACUAGAGUACGGUAGAGGGUAGUGGAAUUUCCUGUGUAGCGGUGAAAUGCGUAGAUAUAGGAAGGAACACCAGUGGCGAAGGCGACUACCUGGACUGAUACUGACACUGAGGUACGAAAGCGUGGGGAGCAAACAGGAUUAGAAACCCCAGUAGUCC